AAAGGAAUUGACGGGGGCCCGCACAAGCAGUGGAGUAUGUGGUUUAAUUCGAAGCAACGCGAAGAACCUUACCUGGGCUUGACAUCCCUGGAAUCGAGUAGAGAUACUUGAGUGCCUUCGGGAAUCAGGUGACAGGUGGUGCAUGGUUGUCGUCAGCUCGUGUCGUGAGAUGUUGGGUUAAGUCCCGCAACGAGCGCAACCCCUAUUGUCAGUUGCCAUCAUUAAGUUGGGCACUCUGGCGAGACUGCCGGUGACAAAUCGGAGGAAGGUGGGGACGACGUCAAAUCAUCAUGCCCCUUAUGCCCAGGGCUACACACGUACUACAAUGGCCGAUAACAAAGUGCAGCGAAACCGUGAGGUGGAGCGAAUCACAAAACUCGGUCUCAGUUCAGAUUGCAGGCUGCAACUCGCCUGCAUGAAGUUGGAAUUGCUAGUAAUCGCGGAUCAGAAUGCCGCGGUGAAUACGUUCCCGGGCCUUGUACACACCGCCCGU
rnacentral:rRNA from 1 species